UAUUGGAUGUGAAUGGAGCUGGCAUGGUUUUAGUAAGUUUGUAGAUAACAAUAAAACUUGUGGUUUAGUUUAGUUUACAGCUACAGCACGGAAACAGGCCCUUUGGCCCACCGAGUCCAUGCUGACCAUUGAUCCCCACACACUAGCACUAUCCUACUACACACUCUGAAGAAGGGUCUCAACCCGAAACAUCACCCAUUCCUUCUCUCCAGAGAUGCUGCCUGUCCUGCUGAGUUACUCCAGCAUUUUGUGCUUGUUCCAGCACGUGUGGCACAAGCUGCCAGAGGAAGCGGUGGAAGUGUAUAAUUAUGACAUUUAAAUGAUGUUUGGACAGGUACAGACUUAGAGGGAUACGGGCCAGAUAUAGGCAGGUGGGGCUUUCAGUUGGGCAACUUGGUCCCCAUGGACAAGUGUGGCUGAAGGCCUAUUUCCAUGCUGUAAAGCUGUACGACACUAACAAAUAUGUAAGGCACCAACAGUUCAAGAGCUAGACCAGAUAGCUCACAAUCUUGCCCAUUUAUCUUAGUAUCUUAGUAUCUUAAACAUACAAUCACUGGCAGGUUCCAAGUUCAAACUCUAUUGUCGGCUGAGUCAGCUGAUCUCAGAUAUGCGGCAAUGUGGACCUGACAUUUGACAAAGUCCCCUCUAACACGGAGGUAGAAUAAUGAUUUCAAGAGUUGCUGGCAGAGUUGGUCAUAAACCAAUGACCUUGCCUGGAGAACAAAGACCAUGUAGAAUAGUGUUUCACUGUACUAGGUCAGAUAACCCAAAAACAGUAUCAGGAUCUGCACGAAAAAGGAUCCGUUUCAAAGGUGAAUGAUCCCCCAGAGAGGUGUUGAGGCUUAAAGAAGAGGAAGCAGCGGACAACAAAAACCAAAUAUGUUCCGUAAUUUCACAAUGAGUCAGCUAUUUGUUUACUAGUGUUAAGUGAUGGAAAGUACUAUUAAUAUUCCAGUGGGUCCAUUACACAGCGUUGUAUAUUUAAAAACAGGCAUUAAACAAGGUUAUGUGAUAUCAAUGUAUUACAACAUAACAGCUUUUUACAUAUUAUUUGCAAAAUCAAACUGACAGUAGGAUCAUUGCAAAUAGCUGUUGGCAGGAGAGUUUCUUCUCAUCAAAUAAGGUCAUAGUUCAUGCCAUGCUACUGCUGACCUGCUCAGACUUGAAAGCUUUAAUCUAUUAGUCAGUGCUGGGUGAAUAAUUCAGGGAUUCUAGCAAAAGAGUUAUAAUUCUUCAUUCUGUAAUACAGUGGAGCAUGAGGUCCCAUUAAAAUGUCCUUGAAAAUGAACAGCCUGACAUCUCCCCAAUGAUGCUUCCAUUUACAGAAGUUACAAUGCAAGUUAUGUAAAAGCUGGAUUCUGUUUAAAGUAGGGGCACUUAAGAUGGGAAGCAAAGACCUAUUUACAGCACUGCGGCUGGAUCAGCUGAGAUGGAGUAAUCAGCUGUCUGACUCUGUUUAUGUCACAGUGACGUCCACAAGCUUCUGUCCAUGAGGCAUGAACAUGCAAAAAAUAUUUUCAAAGUCUCAGUCCUAAAGUGGUAAAUGAAUCAGAAUAAGAGAGAGAGAGAGAGAGGGAGAACUCUUCUACAGCUUAUAAAAAUAGUUUGGCCAAACAGGACAAGACAGGGUGUGGAAUCCUAUAAUGCCUGACAGCCUCAGCCACAAGCCUUCCAAGUUACAGAAAGAUUUGUCUUUAACCUUUAACUUUUUUAUUUUAAUGAAAAGCAUUUGCAGUGAAUGGAAAAUGUAAAAUAAAUCAUACGAACUUCAUUAAA